GGAAGUAAACGCAUCUCCAUACAGACUAUUGUGAGCACUCCCUAUCAAAUGCAGGGAUUCGCCACGAGAGCAGAGUUGGGGAUUGUGCCGCCCAUGCUUUGUGUGGCCCUCAAAUUGAGGUCACAGUGGCUUGAUUUUUCCCCUGCCAUAGAACAAAGCCCUCUAAUAAAUUUAUUAAGUCUAAGUUAUUUGCAAUUCAUGUGCUCUUUGCAGAUCAAGACUGGGUUAUGGACGAUGCCUUCUUUACACAAAAGAAUUGAAGCAUGAGGAGGAAUCUAGGCAGCAAGUGAGGACAGGAAGCCCUUCUAAAUCAUCUUAGGAGCACUUCAGGAUUUAUACACUUGUAGAAUAUGACCACUGAAGGCGAGUGAAGAGAUGAUCUCCAAUCCCACCCUUUUUCAGAUAAGGAAACUCAUACAGAGAGGUUGCAGCAACAGUCCCAAAACACAGGGUUAUGGCAGAAGGUGGUUCAUGCUUCCUGCAGGUGUUAAAUGACCAAAGAAUCAUGGACAUGGAAGCUGAGAGUCUGCCUAAUGAACUUAAGGCUGCAGAAUGAUGUCUUCUCUCUCUUUGAAUAAGAGCAAAGAAAAUACCUUCCAAGUAAGGACUCCUAGAUUUUGGAGUUUGCAUCCAUCCUGCAUUCAUCACAUUUAUUUUACAUCUGACCCCAACUGUUUGCCUAAAUUAGAUUGAAAAUUAAGGAGCAAAGGAUGCCCGCAGCAAAGGAAUUGCACAUUUUUGGAAGUUUGAGCAAAACAGCAGAUGAAACAUCAGCUGGGCAUCGUGAGCUCGGACUCAUUAAAGCAGGCUGGGAGUCACUAAGAGAAAUAGGCCUAACCUGUGCAACAACAGUGAGGACUUAAUUUGUGAGGUAGGUACAACGUAAAAGUAAGGUGUUUUAUAUUUCAUUUCAUCUCACUACUACUAGGAAUUAGCCACUCAGCGUUUGGUAUUUUUAUGCCACUUGAGUCUAAUCUUCCUGUAUUCUUUUCUUUGUUCCCUUCUUUGAAAAGUCAGUGAACAAACAACAACCAUGACCACAAAAUGUUAGAUCAUUUGGUGUAUGAUGUCCUGGGCUCUGGCAUUUUUAAAACUUAGAUGUGUAUUGUAUUUUUAUUUUAAG